CGCCUUGCCAGCCCGCUCAGAAACUCAAAUGAAUUGACGGGGACCCGCACAAGCAGCGGAGCGUGUGGUUUAAUUCGUUGCUACACGAAGAACCUUACCUGGGUUUGACAUAUAGGUUGUAGGGAACUGAAAAGGGACCGACCCUUCGGGGAGCCUAUACAGGUGUUGCAUGGCUGUCGUCAGCUCGUGUCGUGAGAUGUUCGGUUAAGUCCGCUAACGAGCGCAACCCUCGUCGUAUGUUAUAUGUGUCAUACGAGACUGCCGGUAAAAAGCCGGAGGAAGGUGAGGAUGAUGUCAGGUCAGCAUGACCUUUAUAUCCAGGGCUACACACACGCUACAAUGGUCUGUACAAUGGGUAGCCAAGCCGCGAGGCGGAGCCAAUCCUGAAAGCAGGCCUCAGUUCAGAUUGCAGUCUGCAACUCGACUGCAUGAAGCCGGAGUUGCUAGUAACCGCAGGUCAGCAAUACUGCGGUGAAUACGUUCCCGGGUCUU
rnacentral:rRNA from 1 species